rnacentral:lncRNA from 1 species
CUACUAAACUUCAGAAAAGUGUUACAUCAAUCGUUCCGCGAAUUUUUUAAAGAAACAUUUCUAUGCAGAACUCAUACACCUACGUGAAAUGCAGGACCGUAUUAUCUAGCAGCUGCUCUCUAAGAAGCACCGCGCUGACAGAAGGAGGUCACAACAAUGAGCGUACUAUCCAUGAAGGUUGGCCUCAAGAUCAACAUCAGGAAGACAUAAAGCAUGAGAGAGCGCGCAACCGACGAUGUGAACUUCAGUCAGAGGUGAGGAAAUUGAAGAUGUUCAUUUCAUAUACAUGGGAAGCGUCGUCAGUAAGGAGGGUCAGGACAUGUAAAUAGGAAUUGGGAAAGCUACAACUGUCUUCAGGUCGCUCAAACCAACUGAGAAAUCACAUGUCUUGUCAACAAACAGAAAACUCUUUAAUGCAAGUGUGAAAUCGAUUCUGCUGUACAUGUGUGAAAUAGAGCAAGUCAUAAAAUUUCCUCAUCGACAAGCUCAAAACAUUUAUGAAUAGAUAUCCCCGGAACAUCCUUGAGCUAGGAUAGUACGAGAGACUCACAAAGAAAGCUUUGCGAAACAUUAACUUAUCAAAACCUAACAAAACUCAGAUUAAAAGAAUGAAGUGGUGUCGGCUUGGAACCAGCCUUCGGAAAUCCGUUUCCAGCAUUUCAAGGAACACCCUCCAGUGGACUUCUCAAGGGAGAAGAAGCACGAGAGACCAAAGCCAACACGAGAACGUCCACAGAAACUGAAGUACUGACAAACAGCUUCACCUGGGGAAUACUACAAUCCGUUGCCAAAGAUCAAGACGAACAGAGAUUCGUUGCUAAUGCCUUAUGCUCUAUACGGAGUAAAAUGAAUUAAUGAAUUAUAUACACACAUACACAAACACACACAGACACGCACACACACCCACCCACACACCCACACACAUUUUAACUUGGUAAACAAUAACUGAGUUGUGUUACUAUUAACUUAAUUAGUACAGAGUGCAAUAACAACUUAACUGGAAAUAAUGAUGUUUCUGAAUUAUUUAAUCUCUAAUCAAUUCUAUUUUUUCCUACACUCACAAUAUGUAGUCCUCUACAUUUACUUAGCAAUUCUCUCAUUGCUGCAUUGUCAAGAACAAUGAAGGUUAUGCUUUGUCGAUUAAGUUCUUCAUCUGACUGUGACAGACCUGGAGUUAUCCAUCUUUCCUCGAAACUCCACUCUAAUUUUUGAGGAUAUGUAAAUAGUAUUAUUCAUUAUUAAUCUUAAUUUA